rnacentral:rRNA from 1 species
CUCGUAGGCGGUUUGUCGCGUCGGGAGUGAAAUCCAGGUGCUUAACACCUGGCUUGCUUUCGAUACGGGCAGACUGGAGGCAUGCAGGGGGAGAACGGAAUUCCUGGUGUAGCGGUGAAAUGCGCAGAUAUCACGGAGGAACACCGGUGGCGAAGGCGGUUCUCUGGGCAUGUUCUGACGCUGAGGAGCGAAAGUGUGGGGAGCGAACA